rnacentral:tRNA from 1 species
GCCUGUGUGGCUCAGUGGUAGAGCAUCUGUCCCGUAAGCAGAAGGUCCCCGGCUCAAUCCGGGGCGGAGGCA